rnacentral:rRNA from 1 species
UAGGGAAUAUUAGAAAUGGACGAAAGUCUGAUCUAGCAACACCGCGUGUGCGAAGAAGGCCUUCGGGUCGUAAAGCACUUUUUGGAAGGAAUAGGAAGGAAUGUACUUCCAGAAUAAGUCUCGGCUGACUACGUGCCAGCAGCCGCGGUAACACGUAGGAGGCGAACGUUAUCCGGAUUUACUGGGCGUAAAGCGCGUGUAGGUGGUACUGUAAGUAGGGCGUGAAAGCUCCUGGCUCAACUGGGAGAGGCCGUUCUAAACUACAGAACUAGAGGAUGGUAGAGGGAGGUGGAAUUCCAGGUGUAGCGGUGGAAUGCGCAGAUAUCUGGAGGAACACCGGUGGCGAAGGCGGCCUCCUGGACCAUUCCUGACACUCAGACGCGAAAGCCAGGGUAGCAAACGG